UGCCGGGUCGUCUAAUGGUAGGACAACGGCCUUUGAAGCCGUAUAUUCUAGGUUCGACUCCUAGCCCGGCAG
rnacentral:tRNA from 1 species